AGUGGCGGACGGGUGAGUAACGCGUGAGAAUCUGCCUUGGGGUCGGGGACAACCACUGGAAACGGUGGCUAAUACCGGAUAAGCCGAUUGGUGAAAGAUUUAUUGCCCGAAGAGGAGCUCGCGUCUGAUUAGCUAGUUGGUGAGGUAAGAGCUCACCAAGGCAGCGAUCAGUAGCUGGUCUGAGAGGACGAUCAGCCACACUGGGACUGAGACACGGCCCAGACUCCUACGGGAGGCAGCAGUGGGGAAUUUUCCGCAAUGGGCGAAAGCCUGACGGAGCAAGACCGCGUGAGGGAGGAAGGCUCUUGGGUUAAACCUCUUUUCUCAGGGAAGAAGCUCUGACGGUACCUGAGGAAUCAGCCUCGGCUAACUCCGUGCCAGCAGCCGCGGUAAUACGGAGGAGGCAAGCGUUAUCCGGAAUUAUUGGGCGUAAAGCGUCCGCAGGUGGCGAUUCAAGUCUGCUGUCAAAGCACGGGGCUUAACUCCGUAAAGGCAGUGGAAACUGAAUAGCUAGAGUGCCGUAGGGGUAGAGGGAAUUCCCGGUGUAGCGGUGAAAUGCGUAGAGAUCGGGAAGAACGUCGGUGGCGAAAGCGCUCUACUGGACGGCAACUGACACUCAGGGACGAAAGCUAGGGGAGCGAAUGGGAUUAGAUACCCC
rnacentral:rRNA from 1 species